GCACCACUGCACUCCAGCGUGGAUGACAGAGCAAGACACCCUGUCUCAAAAAAAAGACUAUACAACAGAGCUCUGAAAAAGAUCACACUUUCAGGCUCAAGGAGCUCUCUUGUUCCUUCCACCAUCUGAGAACACAGUGAGAAGUCCCCAGGCUUCAACCUGAAAAAGGGCCCUCAUCAGAACCUGAUCAUCAGAACUUGGCACCCCAAUCUUUGUCUUCUGAUCUACAUUGUGACCUAAGUCAGAACGGGGCCAUAGCAGGCAUAAAAGCAACAAUUUAUCAAACUGCCUGAGGGAAUGAUGUAAAAAAUGCUCAUCAAGAAUAUCCAUCUGGACAGGACAAAAAAUGACGCUGAGAGGACUUUGGAGAGUUUCUACCCAGUUUUCCUAAAUUCCAGGAAGUUUUCUUAGUAGAAAUGAUGAUGACUGAAAGCUACUUCAUUUCUGGGAUACUUGAGACUUCUGGUCUGCAUAUGUGACUGUAGGAAGAAAUAAAUAAUUUAUGUUUUGGAAAAACCCUAAUUACCUAAAGAUGACUCUCAUGGAGUAAAAGGGAAAUGGGCAUUUGUCUUGUUUUCCCAAACUCUUUCAGUACUCAGUGAAUAAAAAUUAAGGUAACAACAUGAAUUCAGAAGGGCUUCUUAUUUGAGCUCUCUUACCUGUGCAGACUUAUAUUAUUGUGUGUGUGACAGGCAUUUUCCUUAUUUUAUUUUAUACAAUGUGUGUGAAUAAAUUUUUAUACAACUUCUUUUAUUAAAGGCAGAGAAUGCUUCAGCUUACCUUUGUAUUAUCUACAUUUUGGAAACAGAAUGAAUAUUCAAAUGUUGAAUUAGCUCGAAUAAAUGAAUAGUUCUUAUUUUCCAAGUUUUCCAUUUUUAAAUACAUGUGAUUACCAGUACCAAGAAAAGUUUCAGAAGGUAAAAAGGAAAAAUAAUAACUAUUUUUCUGGUUUGUCUUUGUCUUUCAUUGUCACAUAUUUUACUUCUUAGUCUUGCUUGAUAGCAGUCAUGCAAAAAAGAACAAUCCAACUUCGAAAAUCAGGCAGUUAAUGUUUUUACGGAUAUGAUAAAUACACCGAUGACUCUUCCACAAAGAAAAUGUCAAUCUUCAAAUGUAAUACACAUAAAACCUAGCUUUCUUAGCGUUUAGUGCCAAUAUCACUUUCAAACAAGCAACAGCCUGUUACCCAAGGAAUUAAAAGUAAUUUGCAUCUUUAAUGAAGCCUCUCUUGAAAUUACCACAGGGUAAAAUAAAGAAUAUAUUCUUAACACAUAGAAAAACUUCUAAUACAUAACUUUUCCUUAUAUGUUUUAGUUUUACCUAUCUCCCACAAAUAAGUGACUAUCCCAAAUCUCUCUCCUCUUCCUUUCUAAACUACUCCAAACUCUCUUUUGACCUUUGGUUAUGAUGAUCUUACAAAUUUUUUUUCCCAUUGCCAUUAUUCUAUCCCCUGACCUGCUGUGACAUCCAUUUACAUAAAAUUGUCCAGAAAUCUGUUGGUGAGACCAAACCUUCUUUAGCUGAAAUGGGGAAACGAUGGGCUGUGAAAACUCAAGCUUUAAUAUUUUAGCCCUGGCCAAAUAAGUUAUAGUAGGGGUUCAGCAGAAGUGAGUGAGAAAGAAAAAUCUUUAUUUGAUCUUCAGGAUUUCCAACUAAAAACACCAGUUAGAAAAAUAUUUACAUUAAGCCUCCAAAGUAAAAAGAUUUUGCUGGGUCUUUGCUUUAGUUUAGAUUUGAAAUAGAAAUGAAAACUUCUCAUGGCUCUCAUUCCAUAUAUGGAUUAAUUUCUUAUCCAAAUAUUCUUUUGCUUUUGCUCAGUAGCUCUUGGGGAUUUUCUCACUGUCAUGCCCAUGAAAGAAAGAAGGGCACUCAAGGAGAAGAUUCUAACACUGAACUGCGUGGAAGGUUGAGAAAAAAGGGAACUACCAUUUUCCAGAAGCCUUUUAAAGGGAAACAGAACACAAAUCCUCUAAUUAGCAAGAGCAGACUCAAGACAAGCAGGCAGCCUUCUGUUUACCUC
rnacentral:lncRNA from 1 species